rnacentral:lncRNA from 1 species
UGCAGUGUUCUGGAAUCCUAUGUGAGGGACAAACACUCAGAACCCAGCAGCAGUGUUCUGGAAUACUUUAUGAUGGACAAACAUUCAGACCCUCGCAGCCGUGUUCUGGAAUCAUAUGUGAGGGACAUUCAGACCCUCGCGACAGUGUUCUGGAAUCCUAUGUGAAGGGCAAACACUCAGAAAUCAGCAGCAGUGUUCUGGAAUCCUCUGUG